rnacentral:sRNA from 1 species
UUGCCUUGGCACUGAAAAAUACAUCCUCUUUCCAGGUGAGCGAAGGACCCCCUCUGAGGCUUUGGAGGUCAAUCAUUGAAGUCCCUGCUGUGCCAGAGGAAAUCUUAAAGCGCCUACUUAAAGAACAGCACCUCUGGGAUGUAGACCUGUUGGAUUCAAAAGUGAUCGAAAUUCUGGACAGCCAAACUGAAAUUUACCAGUAUGUCCAAAACAGUAUGGCACCUCAUCCUGCUCGAGACUACGUUGUUUUAAGAACCUGGAGGACUAAUUUACCCAAAGGAGCCUGUGCCCUUUUACUAACCUCCGUGGAUCACGAUCGGGCACCUGUGGUGGGUGUGAGGGUUAAUGUGCUCUUGUCCAGGUAUUUGAUUGAACCCUGUGGGCCAGGAAAAUCCAAACUCACCUACAUGUGCAGAGUUGACUUAAGGUAUGUUCUGAUUCUGAUUUUUUUAUAUGGUGAGGGUCAUGAAGGAAAUUCUGACUUU